AGCAGCCGCGGUAAUUCCAGCUCCAAUAGCGUAUAUUAAAGUUGUUGCAGUUAAAAAGCUCGUAGUUGAAUUUCGGGAUCAAUACGUCGGUCGUGCUUCGGUACGUACUGGCGUCAUUGAUUUCUCCCUUCUGACGAACCAUGAUGUCAUUAACUUGGUGUCAUGGGAAAUCAGGACUGUUACUUUGAAAAAAUUAGAGUGUUUAAAGCAGGCUCACGCUUGAAUACAUUAGCAUGGAAUAAUGAAAUAGGACGUUCGAUCCUAUUUUGUUGGUUUUUAGGAUCAACGUAAUGAUUAAUAGGGAUAGUUGGGGGCAUUAGUAUUCAAUUGUCAGAGGUGAAAUUCUUGGAUUUAUUGAAGACUAGCUACUGCGAAAGCAUUUGCCAAGGAUGUUUUCAUUAAUCAAGAACGAAAGUUAGGGGAUCGAAGACGAUCAGAUACCGUCGUAGUCUUAACCAUAAACUAUGCCGACUAGGGAUCGGAUGAUGUUAAUUUUUUAAUGACUCAUUCGGCGCCUUACG
rnacentral:rRNA from 1 species